rnacentral:rRNA from 1 species
AUUGAACGCUGGCGGCAGGCCUAACACAUGCAAGUCGAACGAGUGGCGGACGGGUGAGUAAUGUCUGGGAAACUGCCUGACGGAGGGGGAUAACUACUGGAAACGGUAGCUAAUACCGCAUACCAUCAGAUGUGCCCUGAUGGGAUUAGCGAGUUGGUGGGGUAACGGCUCACCAAGGCGACGAUCCCUAGCUGGUCUGAGAGGAUGACCGGCCACACGGGGACUGAGACACGGUCCAGACUCCUACGGGAGGCAGCAGUGGGGAAUAUUGCGCAAUGGGCGCAAGCCUGAUGCAGCCAUGCCGCGGGUAUGAAGAAGGCCUUCGGGUUGUAAAGUACUUUCAGCGGGGAGGCGUUACCCACAGAGGAAGCACCGGCUAACUCCGUGCCAGCAGCCGCGGUAAUAC